CGAUCCCAGGCCGAGUUUUCGCUUUUAUAACGGUUAGGCGAACAACUGGGCCUGGUACUAGUUGUCUGCGCAUGUGUCAAUCGUUCGUCAGAUUCUGACGAAUGGAUAUUCUCGUUCACUUUUGUGACAUUUAUAUUCGUGUACUAUCGUGUACUAGAAGUCAGUUCCCGUUUUAUCAGUAUUGGAAUCGAUUGGAAUGGCUCUUAGCUGAAGCUUCUCUCUUCUCUGAAGCUUAUUCUGAAGACUGAACAACAAGGGAAGAGGUAUAAAGCUUUGUCAAGCUUGUUAAGGUCAGAUAUUUUUGUGUGGGCCCUAUGGCCGGCUAUGCUAUCAAGUCUUGUUCAUGUUUGGCAAGAAUGUAGGUAGACUAUAGUUUCAUCAUUAAUAUGGUGGAUCAAGUGAAGAGUGUGAGCUAGAGAACUUGGUGCUGCCAUCAUCAGCUCGUCGACAAUGACACUAUAACCGAGAAAUUUAAUAUGUAUAGAUCUACACGUAUUUAAAAUGUCUACUUCUCUGUACAGGAGCAAUGGCUAAUAUCCAGCUAUCCCAACAGUGCUCCUCUUGGCUAUACUAACGGACGAGACUGGACAGUUUGAGACACAGGACUGGAGUAUGACCUGCUCAUUCGAGCAUUGCUGGGUAGCUCAGAGACAUCAAGAGAAUCUACGUUUUCUCAAGCAAUGAGUUACGAGUUGGGGCCUAGAAUCAGAGAAGUCCAGCAGCCUGCUAAAUCUUUUUGAAACGUAAUUUGAAGGCAUUCAAUCAUCCUGAAGUUGCCCUGGGUCACUGUAAUUGUGCUGCAGCACAACUGGCAACUCCCCAGGCCUUUGUGAAGCAGCUCCCUAUGUGCAUCUUUUGUGUACUCACUCUGUGCAUUUUCUGUGUACAAAUUUCUAUUAUUGAUUUAUUAAAUAUUUUUGCCGACCACAAA